rnacentral:tRNA from 1 species
GGAAAAGUGUCUGAGUGGUUUAAGGUGCAGAUUUGGAAAGUCUGUGUUAUUACUAAAUAACCGAGGGUUCAAAUCCCUCCUUUUCCG